rnacentral:antisense_RNA from 1 species
AGAUCCAUCUAAACAUGCUUGAAAAUACACAACGUAAACCAUCUCCUUUGUUACCUUGGAAAGCAGUAAGGAUUCUACACAGGUUAUGCUAAGGAGAUAUUUAAGAAAUUUUUUUUCCAUACUAAAUGCGUUCAUUUGAAAUACAGAGAGCAUCUUCUCAUUUCUAUAAAUGGGAUCUGACAGGAGAAGCUCCCAAAUAUAAGAAGUGUUUCUUCCACUGCAUUCAGUGGAAAAUGGAGCAUGCCAAACAGCGCUAGUGAAACAGACAUUCGUGUGCACACGCGUGUGUGUGCUGUGUGUGCAUGUGUGUGUAGUAUUCCACCUGCAAAAUGGAAAGUCUUAGAACAUCUUUCAGUACACAUUUCAAAUAAUACCACAAUUAAUGACUGAAUUUCAGAAAAUGGCUUCUUUCCAGAUUAUUUCCACAUUCAGGGUAAAAAGUGUUCUUGAGCUUUCUGUGCCCUUGCAGGAGAUGAAGGCAUGCUUGUUCCCUAAUUGCACAUUUUUGGGGGAAAACCACAUUUGCAUCUCACUGUUGGCGCCCACAUCUGGGCUGCCCCACGGUUACCCCGACAAUCCAUCUCUGGGCUCUUGACCGCAGAGGCUCGGAAGCUCCAUAACCUUGACCACAGAGGCUCGGAAACGCCAUACCCUUGCCUGGCUGCCCUCCUGGUGCUGACGGUGCCUCCGACGUGUGACACCACUCCAGCCGGUGAGUCCAUGGAGCACCCGCUCAGUGGCUUCUGAGCAGAGUCCGGCCUUCUCCAUGCUGACGACUGCUCUUCCUGCGGCCCAUGGCAGGUGGGGCUGCAGUGGCUGACCCAGGGCCAGCUGAGAGUGAGAGCCAGCAUGCUCAGAUGCAUGACGCUGGCCCGGGUCCCAACGAGGCUGACCCCAACCCAGUGUGGACAACCUCCUCUGGCUCUCCUCUGCCCUGGUCCUAGUGCAGCUGACCCCGACCCAGCCAGGACAACCUCCUCUGCCCUGGUCCUGGUGCAGCUGACCCCAACCCAGUGUGGACAACCUCCUCCGGCUCUCCUCUGCCCUGGUCCCAGUGCAGCUGACCCUGACCCAGCUAGGACAGGUCCUACCUCCUCCAGCUCUCAUCCACUUGGCUCUACCCGUCCUUUGCUAUAACCAGGGCUGGGCAGGUUUGCAAGGAUGUGCCACCAAAGGCUUCCCAAACAGAACACAAGGAGAAGGCAUCUCAAUAAGGUGCACCUCCCACGGCACUUCCAAGAAGUCUGUGAAAGAACAGAGCAAGUGUGACGGUCAGGGCUGUGAACCUCUGAGUGCUUCAGAUGUGAAAGUGAGGAAGAUGUCGGGCUGUGAGUGUCACGCAGCAGAAUGGUGGAGGAGGCCUCUCGGGUUGGAAGUAACAUGGUGCGCAGAAGGCAGUUUCUGUGCACAGUGGAGCACGUGUGUUGAUGCCUGACAGCCCACGUUCAGAUCCUGGCUCAACCGCUCGCCAACGGUGUCAUUUGGACAAAUCUCUUAAUCUACGCAACGUACAAUGAGGACAGUUGUCACAGGACAUAACUUAUGGAGUUCUGUGAAUAUUAGGCUGGUGUCGGAGCAACAAGAAAACAUUCAUUGGAUGGUUUUGCAAAUCCCAAUCUGGAUCACAGUCUCCCGCGUGCUUGCAUGUCAUGUAGAUUCCUGGAUCACGGUCUCCCGCGUGCUUGCAUGUCAUGUAGAUUCCUGGAUCACGGUCUCCCGCGUGCUUGCAUGUCAUGUAGAUUCCUGGAUCACGGUCUCCUGCGUGCUUGCAUGUCAUGUAGAUUCCUGGAUCACAGUC